GAGUAGUUGAGCAGAAGUAGUAGAAGAAGGGGACUGCUCGUUUGAUUACCGGUGCGUUCAGUAUGUAUCUUACCCAUUCUUUCGUUGUGUUGUAAUAAACAUUAUUCACUCUUAGCA